CACGUAGGGCGCGAGCGUUGUCCGGAAUUAUUGGGCGUAAAGAGCUCGUAGGCGGCCUGUUGCGUCCGCUGUGAAAGCCCGGGGCUUAACCCCGGGUCUGCAGUGGAUACGGGCAGGCUAGAGGUAGGUAGGGGAGAACGGAAUUCCUGGUGUAGCGGUGAAAUGCGCAGAUAUCAGGAGGAACACCGGUGGCGAAGGCGGUUCUCUGGGCAUGUCCUGACGCUGAGGAGCGAAAGUGUGGGGAGCGAACAGG
rnacentral:rRNA from 1 species